rnacentral:rRNA from 1 species
UACGUAGGGUGCGAGCGUUAAUCGGAAUUCCUGGGCGUAAAGCGUGCGCAGGCGGCUUCGCAAGUCAGGCGUGAAAUCCCCGGGCUUAACCUGGGAAUUGCGCUUGAAACUACGGUGCUGGAGUGCGGCAGAGGAAGGUGGAAUUCCACGUGUAGCGGUGAAAUGCGUAGAGAUGUGGAGGAACACCAAUGGCGAAGGCAGCCUUCUGGGUCGACACUGACGCUCAUGCACGAAAGCGUGGGGAGCAAACAGG